UACGUAGGUGACGAGCGUUAUCCGGAUUUAUUGGGCGUAAAGCGCACGCAGGCGGCAGAGAAAGUCUGACGUGAAAUCUCCCGGCUUAACUGGGAGCGGUCGUUGGAAACUACUUGGCUUGAGGCGAUGAGAGGGGUGUGGAAUUCCCGGUGUAGUGGUGGAAUGCGUAGAUAUCGGGGGGAACAUCAGUGGCGAAAGCGGCACCCUGGCAUUAGCCUGACGCUCAUGUGCGAAAGCGUGGGGAGCGAACGGG
rnacentral:rRNA from 2 species